CCCCGCCCCAUCCUCCUCCCCCCCCCCCCCCCCGGGCGGGUUCGGCGCGCAUGCGCGGCCCUCGGCUCGGCCUGGGCGCACCUUUUCUCCCUCCUGCCACAAUGUGAGCGCUCAGCCGAGCAGAUAACCGCCGGCUGCCUGCUCCACCCCCGGCCCUCGCCCACUCCGCCACUCCCGAGCGCCCAGAAGGAAGGGAAGGACCAAGGCGAUGAAGGACAAGUGAGCCAUUGCAGCCACACUCCCAGAUACAAGCACCCUUUGUUCUGCAGGAUAAAUACAGCCCGUGCUAUUUCAGAUGAUGAAGAUUUAUAAAAUUGACCAGAGAUCUCCCAAUACCCAGAAUUCAACCCCAAAUCUCUCCAGUUCUACAACUUUCCCUCUAGUUGGCGUUGCCUUCUAGAGUGAGAAUAUGGGAAGUCCCACCCAAUGGACAUCUUCAUUCUGGCAGCAAGCACCACUGCAGGUCACUGGCCUGAAGAGGCUUCAAAUGAGAAGGGUCCACUGUCUUAGCAUGCAAGCCUUCAAGCCUGAACAAGGAAACUAUUCAUCCAUGGAGCCAACCAGGAGGAAGCCACUUCCUGUUCUCUCCCUGUCCUGGCCUGGCCAGGCCAGGACAUGGCUUUCCAUCCCAGGCUGGGAGGAUGGAAUUGAUAAAGGCCCAUUGUGACAGUCUCACAAACCCAGA
rnacentral:lncRNA from 1 species